AUUCCGAUUACCACCUAUAAAACUGAGACUUAAGGCCAUGUCUAGGUGCAACAAUCCUAUUACUUGCAGCGCAUUCACCAGUGACGGCCUUAUAUAUGCUUAUGCGGUGUGCUAUGACUGGAGCAAGAAUGCGAAAAAUCGUAAAACUUCAAAGCCGAGAAUUUUCCUCCACCUACCACGGGAAUCUGAGGUGAAAGGAAAACCACCACGUGCUGGGAAAGGUAGAAAGUGAAGCUACUGCUUGCUGAGGUACAUGUGGUUGGUCAUGAAUGUCAAUUGUGGGAAAUCAAAACUGCCCUCUGGUGUUGUUGAUUAUUUGUAAAUGUGUUCACCAAAAAUUGGAAAGCCUGGUGUCUUGGUUGGCAAAAAUCGGUCUCUCUUUACUUUUUUCUUAGCUUUAUGAACCAAAUGGCGUUCUUCUCGUCUACUUUCAAAAGUUUACUUUUUGGCA